GAUGAACGCUAGCGACAGGCCUAACACAUGCAAGUCGAGGGGCAUCGGGGUGUAGCAAUACGCUGCCGGCGACCGGCGGAUGGGUGAGUAACGCGUAUGCAACCUGCCUUCAGCAGGGGGAUAGCCCGUUGAAAGACGGAUUAAUACCCCGUAACACAGGGGCUCCGCAUGGAGAUUAUUGUUAAAGGGAUGCUUCCUUCGGGGAGUAUUCCGGCUGAAGAUGGGCAUGCGUUCCAUUAGGUAGUUGGUUGAGGUAACGGCUCACCAAGCCUGCGAUGGAUAGGGGAACUGAGAGGUUGGUCCCCCACACUGGUACUGAGACACGGACCAGACUCCUACGGGAGGCAGCAGUGAGGAAUCUUGGUCAAUGGACGGAAGUCUGAACCAGCCAUGUCGCGUGAAGGAGGACGGCCCUAAGGGUUGUAAACUUCUUUGCAAGGGGAAUAAAGUAUUCCACGAGAUGGGAUAUUGCAAGUACGCUGCGAAUAAGGAUCGGCUAACUCCGU
rnacentral:rRNA from 1 species